UUAAGCGACUAAGCGUACACGGUGGAUGCCCUGGCAGUCAGAGGCGAUGAAGGACGUGCUAAUCUGCGAAAAGCGUCGGUAAGGUGAUAUGAACCGUUAUAACCGGCGAUGUCCGAAUGGGGAAACCCAGUGCAAUUCGUUGCACUAUCGUUAACUGAAUACAUAGGUUAACGAGGCGAACCGGGGGAACUGAAACAUCUAAGUACCCCGAGGAAAAGAAAUCAACCGAGAUUCCCCCAGUAGCGGCGAGCGAACGGGGAGCAGCCCAGAGUCUGAAUCAGCUUGUGUGUUAGUGGAACGGUCUGGAAAGUCCGACGGUACAGGGUGAUAGUCCCGUACACCAAAAUGCACAGGCUGUGAACUCGAAGAGUAGGGCGGGACACGUGGUAUCCUGUCUGAAUAUGGGGGGACCAUCCUCCAAGGCUAAAUACUCCUGACUGACCGAUAGUGAACCAGUACCGUGAGGGAAAGGCGAAAAGAACCCCGGCGAGGGGAGUGAAAAAGAACCUGAAACCGUGUACGUACAAGCAGUGGGAGCACCUUCGGGUGUGACUGCGUACCUUUUGUAUAAUGGGUCAGCGACUUAUAUUCUGUAGCAAGGUUAACCGUAUAGGGGAGCCGCAGGGAAACCGAGUCUUAACUGGGCGUUAAGUUGCAGGGUAUAGACCCGAAACCCGGUGAUCUAGCCAUGGGCAGGUUGAAGGUUGGGUAACACUAACUGGAGGACCGAACCGACUAAUGUUGAAAAAUUAGCGGAUGACUUGUGGCUGGGGGUGAAAGGCCAAUCAAACCGGGAGAUAGCUGGUUCUCCCCGAAAGCUAUUUAGGUAGCGCCUCGUGAACUCAUCUUCGGGGGUAGAGCACUGUUUCGGCUAGGGGGUCAUCCCGACUUACCAACCCGAUGCAAACUACGAAUACCGAAGAAUGUUAUCACGGGAGACACACGGCGGGUGCUAACGUCCGUCGUGAAGAGGGAAACAACCCAGACCGCCAGCUAAGGUCCCAAAGUCAUGGUUAAGUGGGAAACGAUGUGGGAAGGCACAGACAGCCAGGAUGUUGGCUUAGAAGCAGCCAUCAUUUAAAGAAAGCGUAAUAGCUCACUGGUCGAGUCGGCCUGCGCGGAAGAUGUAACGGGGCUAAACCAUGCACCGAAGCUGCGGCAGCGACACUAUGUGUUGUUGGGUAGGGGAGCGUUCUGUAAGCCUGCGAAGGUGUGCUGUGAGGCAUGCUGGAGGUAUCAGAAGUGCGAAUGCUGACAUAAGUAACGAUAAAGCGGGUGAAAAGCCCGCUCGCCGGAAGACCAAGGGUUCCUGUCCAACGUUAAUCGGGGCAGGGUGAGUCGACCCCUAAGGCGAGGCCGAAAGGCGUAGUCGAUGGGAAACAGGUUAAUAUUCCUGUACUUGGUGUUACUGCGAAGGGGGGACGGAGAAGGCUAUGUUAGCCGGGCGACGGUUGUCCCGGUUUAAGCAUGUAGGCUGAUUGUCCAGGCAAAUCCGGAUAAUCAAGGCUGAGGUGUGAUGACGAGGCACUACGGUGCUGAAGUAACAAAUGCCCUGCUUCCAGGAAAAGCCUCUAAGCAUCAGGUAACAUCAAAUCGUACCCCAAACCGACACAGGUGGUCAGGUAGAGAAUACCAAGGCGCUUGAGAGAACUCGGGUGAAGGAACUAGGCAAAAUGGUGCCGUAACUUCGGGAGAAGGCACGCUGGUGUGUAGGUGAAGUCCCUGCGGAUGGAGCUGAGACCAGUCGAAGAUACCAGCUGGCUGCAACUGUUUAUUAAAAACACAGCACUGUGCAAACACGAAAGUGGACGUAUACGGUGUGACGCCUGCCCGGUGCCGGAAGGUUAAUUGAUGGGGUUAUCCGUAAGGAGAAGCUCUUGAUCGAAGCCCCGGUAAACGGCGGCCGUAACUAUAACGGUCCUAAGGUAGCGAAAUUCCUUGUCGGGUAAGUUCCGACCUGCACGAAUGGCGUAAUGAUGGCCAGGCUGUCUCCACCCGAGACUCAGUGAAAUUGAACUCGCUGUGAAGAUGCAGUGUACCCGCGGCAAGACGGAAAGACCCCGUGAACCUUUACUAUAGCUUGACACUGAACAUUGAGCCUUGAUGUGUAGGAUAGGUGGGAGGCUUUGAAGCGUGGACGCCAGUCUGCGUGGAGCCAACCUUGAAAUACCACCCUUUAAUGUUUGAUGUUCUAACGUUGGCCCCUGACCGGGGUUGCGGACAGUGUCUGGUGGGUAGUUUGACUGGGGCGGUCUCCUCCCAAAGCGUAACGGAGGAGCACGAAGGUUAGCUAAUCCUGGUCGGACAUCAGGAGGUUAGUGCAAUGGCAUAAGCUAGCUUGACUGCGAGCGUGACGGCGCGAGCAGGUGCGAAAGCAGGUCAUAGUGAUCCGGUGGUUCUGAAUGGAAGGGCCAUCGCUCAACGGAUAAAAGGUACUCCGGGGAUAACAGGCUGAUACCGCCCAAGAGUUCAUAUCGACGGCGGUGUUUGGCACCUCGAUGUCGGCUCAUCACAUCCUGGGGCUGAAGUAGGUCCCAAGGGUAUGGCUGUUCGCCAUUUAAAGUGGUACGCGAGCUGGGUUUAGAACGUCGUGAGACAGUUCGGUCCCUAUCUGCCGUGGGCGCUGGAGAAUUGAGGGGGGCUGCUCCUAGUACGAGAGGACCGGAGUGGACGCAUCACUGGUGUUCGGGUUGUCAUGCCAAUGGCACUGCCCGGUAGCUAAAUGCGGAAGAGAUAAGUGCUGAAAGCAUCUAAGCACGAAACUUGCCCCGAGAUGAGUUCUCCCUGAGACU
rnacentral:rRNA from 1 species